GGUGAACGUUGGCGGUGCGUCUAAUACAUGCAAGUCGAGCGAGGCUUCGAGCCGAGCGGCAGACGGCUGAGUAACACGUUGGUAACUACCUCAAACUCAUGGAUAACGCCGAGAAAUCGGUGCUAAUACCGGAUGGUCCCGUAAGGGUAAAGUUUUUACGGUUUGAGAGGUGCCUGCGUCCUAUCAGGUAGUUGGUGAGGUAACGGCUCACCAAGCCUAUGACGGGUAACUGGUCUGAGAGGAUGACCAGUCAGAGGGAAACUGAGACACGGUUCCCACUUCUACGGAAGGCAGCAGUAAAGAAUCUUACACAAUGGACGAAAGUCUGAUGGAGCGACACCGCGUGCAGGAUGAAGGCCCUUGGGUCGUAAACUGCUUUUUUGGGGGAAAAAUUCUGAUUGUACCCUAAGAAUAAGCACCGGCAAAGCACGUG
rnacentral:rRNA from 1 species